rnacentral:snRNA from 1 species
AGCACUAUAAAGAGUUAGUAGUUAGCACUGAAUAGUACUAUGGUCAAAAAUAAAUAGUCAAGCUUCCAAGACUCCAGCCACAUCCAAAUGAGGCGCUGCAUGUGGCAGUCUGUCUGUCUUU